rnacentral:lncRNA from 1 species
UGAAAGCGCAGCUCCCGCGCCACCACCACCACCACCGCCGAGAGGAAAGAAAUAUCGCCACCGCCGCCGCCGCUCAUCCCGGGCGAGCCGCCAUGGCCGGCGAUGAUGAGAUCUUCUCCACGCUGAACCUCAUCGAGCACCACCUCCUCGGCGACGCCUUCCUCUCCCCUGGCCCAGCACCGUCCGUCGGCGCCACCUCCUCCUUCUUCCUCGCUCCUCUUCCGGCGGCCACCAACUCCGGCCUGGCGGGCUCUUCCUACUCCUACGCCGCCUCCUCCUCCACUUCCGGGGGGUCUCCGUCGGUGGCCGGCGACGCCGUCGAUGACUUCCUGGAGGAGGACCCCUUCGGGGAGUCCAAGUCCAAUUCAGCAUCGUCCUCCUCUUCGAUCUCAUCUG